AUAAUACUCCCUCCGUCCAAACAUACUUGUCUUUACAAUGAAUAAAAAGGGAUGUAUCUAGAACUAAAAUACGUCUACAUCUCCUUUUAUUCAUCUUGAUGACAAGUACUUCCGGACGGAGGGAGUAUUUG
rfam:Triticum aestivum genome assembly, contig: Triticum_aestivum_CS42_TGACv1_scaffold_642917_T_1DS-0.369027_4DS-0.195254